AGUUACUCCCGGAAGCCCUGGGACGGGUGGUGAGGGGCCCGGGCGGAUGGCGCGCCUUAGAGAGGAUGCUGUUCGUGCUGCUUUCCGUGCCGUGUUUUCUGAAAGGUUGGAGGAGAUUAGGUGUCUCUCGGGCUGACAUUUGAAGGUCUGGAGCUGGCCGUUUAUGAGGGUUUAUAAGGGUUUUAAGCGCUCCGGCCAUGGGCGCCAACCCGAUCUUCCAGCCCCUGCGGACGGACUGCCCCCCCCCCGCCCUGGGGGGAUUGGCUGCUCUGGGACCCCGAGCCCAGAGGACAGUGAGAAGCUGACAAACCUUAAAUACAGACCAGAAGAGGAGUUUGGGGCUUGACACCUGACGUCUUAACACCAGUUCCUGUUUCUUGAGGAAGGAAGAGGUAAAAUAAAUCAGCGUUUACUGUGUCCUUCUCCAUCCCCGGAAGUCUUCAUGAAGACCCUCUCAGCUUCUACUUGAACGUGAAUAUGAGCAACUGAUCAUCUGUUCUGCGGUCAGCCCCUGGCCUGAUUCUGACUCAUGAUAUUGACCUUCUCCAUCAUCACCUUCCACAAAUUUGAUUCCUAUCUAUUCUGCCUGGAAUAGUUCAUGAGUAUAGUCACCAUUUAUGUUCCUGACGAAAGACAUUAUGCUCAUUCUCAGGGCCCUGAGACCUCAUCUGCAGCAGGUGAAGGCAUUCGUGGAGAGAGGCGGUUUCCGUGCGUGCAGGCAAAGUGUGUGCUGAGAUGAGUCGCUGGAGACUGGGGUGGACUCCUCAGACCCAGGAUAGGCCUCUGGCAGGUAUAUGUCAAUGUUUUCUGCCCAUGGCACUCACCCGGAUAUUUGCAUACAAUGUUAUCAGUGGAAUUAGUAGUCUCCAGAGAGGCUGCCACAUGUCAGCAAGCUUCACCUGGCCAGGUCCGCCCAGGAUGUAGCUCCCCAAUCAAUCACUACUCUCUAGACCUUCCAGAUAGACUAGCAGAUCUUCUCUGCCCAUGGGCAACCAGUAGAGCCAGAGGCCUUCUCUCUUUGCUCUUUCGUCUCUAGGCAUUCUAUCAGGCAUUUCAAGCUGUGAAGUGCCUGGGAGGAGAAGGAAGAGAUUUCAGAGAAUGAACACAUACAGAGAGACAGGCAAGAGACGGUGAGUGGGGAUGUCUUGCCUACUGAUAUCCUCAGGAAAGUGGGAAAAUUGGACCCUGGCCUGCUAUGACAAUGCCCUGAAGCAGUCCGCACCAGGGGCUCCCUUGUGCCUGCAUAGCCUUUCCCAGGGUGUGCUCAAAUCCUGUGGCCACUAGGUGUCCUGGGUCACAAUGGAGGGCUCUGUGUCAUCUGCCUGUUGGGCUGGAUCUCUGCCAUUGGCUGAGUCUUGUCACCAGGCCCAUCAUAAGCUCUGCCCACUCUUCCUGUGGGGGGACUGUCUCCAUGGUGAUGGCAAAGAAGCCUGAGUUCCGCCCACCUGGCCUUGACUUCACCUACCUGGCCUGCUGACCCUCACUCAGACCUCUGUGUUGAUCAAAAUGAGUGUCCGCCAGUGGCCAGGUGUCAGCAUCUGGGAUAAAGGAUUGGGGACCUUGCCUGGGGCAGAAGGCAGCCUAGGUCUGUGGGUACCUGGAAGUCUUGUGACUUCUGCCGCUGCUGCCAGUGACAGAUGGUGACUCCCACACUCACAUAUCCCCUGGUGGCAGAAGGAUAGUGAUGGGCGGAGAAACAUGGCUCCGGAGCACACUUUAAAUGCGGCACCAGCCAAAGGCCAGGGCAAGGAGUGGACGUCGUGGAGCUUAAUUGCAAGCCAGUGAAGGGCCCAAGGAUUUCUCCUAUAUGUGGCAAACAGGUCAUCCGUGUCCCCACGUCCAUAAACCACUGGACUGCAGUGCCAGACUGCCAGGAUUUCGGCCUUGCCAUUGGAGCCCGUCCACAUACGCUGCGUUGCACCGGAGGCGGGGACAUGUAGACAGCAAAAAUUUGGAAAAUGGCAUCAUCUCUUCAAUUUCCCUAGCAUUGGCCUUUUUCAGUGGCAUGCUUUGUUUCCUAGUAGGAUAAGGCACUGACGGAGAAAGGCAGGAGUA